CUUGGCCUCCCAAAGUGCUGGGAUUACAGGUGUGAGCCACCGCAACUGGCCUCCUUUUACAUUCUUAAUGACUGCACAAUAUCUCACUAUGGAGGAACCAUAAUUUACUCCAUCAUCUCUAUUGUUGGGGGUUUUGGUAGCUUUGGGAUUCUCAUUCUUAACAUGUCAUGCUUGAUGCCAUCACAGGUUGAGUCUUUAGAAGCUGACAGAAAUGGCAUUGGAGGUAUAAGAUAUUAACUAGGGCUGGAUCCCUGUGAAAGGAAGAGGGAAGAAGCAGGGGUGGGUGAGGGAGGUGAACUGUGGUACAGUCCUGCAGCCUCAGCAGACCCCAGGGUCUACUGUAAAGGCCUAUCAGUGUUGUCCCAUUGGGUGGAAAUGGCUGGGCUUUUAUAAUCUUAAGUCAUUCACUGACCAGAUGAGGGCUGUCCUGGGAGGGGAAGGACCUCACGUGAGGCUGCACUCUGCAGCUGAGGCCAACUUUGAAGGAGCUGAUAGCUGGGGGUAUCUGUUGACCACACUCUCCAAGGCUGGGCAGCAAGUAGCAAGUCCUCCUGUGAAGCAAGUCCUCAUAUGACACUCCUAUGGGGCAUCUCUGUGUCUACCGCCGUUACUCAUUCUGUGCAUAUAUGUUUGCUUAGGUCCUUGGUAUAAAUUCCAAGAAGUGGAAUUGCUGGGACAGAGUGUGGGCAUUUGAAAAACUUUUUAUAUUUAUUGCCCAGUGACCUCCCAGAAAGAUUGUACCCCUUUCUCCCAUCAAGAGUUCAUCAGUAAUGCAUCAAUACAUGACAAUUGUACUGUUUUACAUUUUUAAAUAUUGAAAGGUAUCUCAAAUUCCUUUGAAAAAUAAAUACAAAUUUUGAUGUUU
rnacentral:lncRNA from 10 species